CUUACACUUAUGAAGGUGUGGAAGGUUGCGUGAUGACCUGCAAAGUUGUUUGCAUCCUAAUCCCCAGAAUCUACAACUGUUACCUUACAUGGCCAAAGGAUUUCAAUUAAGGAUCCUGAGAAGGGAAGAGGAUCCUGGCUUAUCCGGGGGUGGGGAUUGUAAUCACAAGCGUCCUUAUAAGCAGGAAGCAAGAAUCUCCAAGGCAGCUCAGGUUAUGUGAGAAGCAGAGAUGAGAGCGAUGAGGCCCUGAUCCCAGGAACGCAGGCAGCCUCUGGAAUGGAGAAGAGGCAGGGAACACACUCUCUCCUGAGCCCCCAGAAGCCACUGGCCUCACUGGCACCUUCUUUUGUGCCCUUUAAAGCUCAUUUUGGACUUCUCGCCUCCAGAACUGUAAGAGCGUACAUGUGUGUUGUCUGAAGUCACUAAGCUUGUGAUAAUGUGUUAUAGCAGCAAUAAAAAACUAAUACAAAGGUGGAUCAAGAGGUAAAUACAUCAUCUUCUCUGGGGCGGGGGGGGGAGGGGACAAAAAAAAACCAAUGACAAUUCAUAUAAAAGGGAAAAACACAGGAUCCAGGACUGUGCACUGUGGGAGAAAAGCAGCAUUCUCUAAAGCCAAACACAGGGGAGUUCAAAAUUACUUUUUGUACUUACCAGUUAUUUGACCUCCAGCAAGUCACUUACCCUCUGAACCUCAGUAUCUGCAGCCAUGAAGUGGGAAUAACGACGACAGGUGUGUACUCUCCUCUGCGAAAGCAACAGGCAAGCAGGUUUCUGGCACCAGCACAUUACCUGAAACAUCUGGCACUCGUGACCUCAGCAACCUGUGUCCUGUCUUCUCAAUGUGACAGAUUGGGGCCAUCUUCAGAGCCUGCAUCGGAGUGCUCCAUUCUGCGCAGCCCUCCACAAUCUUUGAGGAGCAGGCUUGUACCACAGCCAAUAUAUCUGCUUGGCAACUCUAAUGAACAAAUUGCCACAAAAGUGAGACAGAACACACCUUUUUGAAAAGACCUUGUUGGAUUCUGCUUCUUUCCUGAGAAAUUUAUCAAAGGACUUCCUCGAAUCUUUGAAUAAGACUUCUGAAUUACACAUGGCUCACACACAGUGAGUUAGGAAACUCGCAGUCAUUUUAUUGACAUUUAAUUUUCUUUUUUUUUUUUUUUUUUUUUUGAGACGGAGUCUCGCUCUGUAGCCCAGUCUGGAGUGCAGUGGCCGGAUCUCCGCUCACUGCAAGCUCCGCCUCCAGGGUUCACGCCAUUCUCCGGCCUCAGCCUCCCGAGUAGCUGGGACUACAGGCGCCGCCACCUCGCCCGGCUAUUUUUUUGUAUUUCUUAGUAGAGACGGGGUUUCACCGUGUUAGCCAGGAUGGUCUCGAUCUCCUGACCUCGUGAUCCGCCCAUCUCGGCCUCCCAAAGUGCUGGGAUUACAGGCUUGAGCCACCGCGCCCGGCCGACAUUUAAUUUUCAAUUUGUUUUAUUGUAAUUUUCAAGAUACGCAAAAUGAAGUAUAAUUCAAAAGACAAUUUAUUAAUAACACCUGUAUCUCUGUGGAACUAAAAACAUUUGUGAUUGUUUUCAAAAGGCAAUAGUAUUCCCAGA
rnacentral:lncRNA from 1 species